ACCAAUUUACAGGAAAUGCAGAAGACAGAGGAAGUAUGUUAAAUGACACCAACAAAAUCCAGACAGUGGAACACUCUACACGAUAAAGGACCUGGCUUCAUUAACAGAUACAUUGCAAGAGUCAAAAAGGAGACGUUCCACAUAAAAAUUCUGAUUUUGGAUUCUUUUGGAUAAAUGGAAAUACCUGGUAACACUAGCCCAGACCUCCACAGUGUAACAACCAGCCGAAUUGAGAAGUGUUACAGGAACAUGCCGUCCAGGGAACCACAGACCCCACCACUCCCUGGUGCCCUUAAAGCCCACUUCCUGUAUCUAUGCUCCAGCCUCAACAUCAGCCUCUGAAACAUAUAUUCAGUGCUGAGUGUGCACAAGUCACGUGGCAGCCCCCAUUGAAUCUGGCAUUGUCCCCUGCCCUCAAGGAGACUCAAGUCCAGGGGGGAGAAAGUGUUUCUGUCUUGGACUGCUCACUCUGGAAGAAGCCAGCUGCCAUGUUGUCAGGACACACAAGCAGCCCUAUCAGAGGUCCAUGUGGUAUGGAACCGAGGCCUCCUGCCAACAGCCAUGAGAGGAGCCAUCUUGCAUGUGGACCCCCAGCUCCAGUCAAGCCUUCAGAUGACAGCAGCCCCAUUCAACAUCUUGAGACCUUGAGCCAGAACAACCCAGCUCAG